UACGUAGAGUGCAAGCGUUGUCCGGAAUUAUUGGGCGUAAAGGGUACGCAGGCGGAUAAUCAAGUCAAGCGUGAAAGGUGUCGGCUUAACCGACAGACUGCGUUUGAAACUGAUUAUCUUGAGUGUAACAGAGGAGAGUGGAAUUCCUAGUGUAGUGGUGAAAUACGUAGAUAUUAGGAAGAACACCAGUGGCGAAGGCGACUCUCUGGGUUAACACUGACGCUGAGGUACGAAAGCUGGGGGAGCGAACGG
rnacentral:rRNA from 1 species